CAUCAAAAGAUCGUAUUUCUUCAGCAUGUUUGGAUGAUUAACUCGAUUCCUACUUGUGUUACAGUUCAAUAACAUGUUUCUCUGUUAAAUGUGCUCUGUUUUUCUGGAUAAUUCCAAUGGAACCGUGAGCGGAGGACUAUAACAGAUCAUAAUCGCAGUUGUUUGGUGCAAGACCUUAGAGUGGUACCCAAUUUUGCCUGCCCUCAUCAGUCAUCACAAUAUAAAGGAUCUUACAUUUAGAAGACAAUCCUGCAAAUUUGCAGCUGUACAAAUUGCACUUCAUCUCAUCUGCUGCUGGAAUAAAUAAUGAAAGAUUUUCAAACCAGUGUCCAAGAGCCCCCUAGAGUAUGAAAUGAAGGUGUUCUUUAUUAAGGAGAUCAGUGUUUGAUGUAUUUGUUUUCUGUGCAUUGAUGACAUUUGUGAAACUGUUCGGUUACUUUAUGACCAUCUCUCUGACAACUACUUUGACAUUUGAAAUUUAAUUUGAGCGACUGACAAGCAGACCAAAUAAUAUGCAUGUAAAACAUUAUACAAUUGUAAUAAGACAUUGAUAAACUUCAAUUUAAACAAACCACAUGUUCAUGUAUCUUUGAGCUUGGCAUUGAAAUAAUAUAUACUUUA